GCAAAAGCUGUGAAGGGGAAGAGUAACUAUAAAACAGGAUUACAGAGAGGUUAGUCUGAGGCUGAAAGCUAACUAUCCUGUUUAUAGUGAAUGGGCCCCGGAGCUUCGAGGCGAAAGGUUUGAGUAGCCAAAGACGGUAUUGCUCCCGUUAUAGAGCAAAGAGUGGAGUCUUUUUAGACUCCAUUAAGGUGGUACCGCGAGAGUAAGCCUUCUCGUCCUUUUC
rnacentral:ncRNA from 1 species